GCGCUUGUUGCCUGUGACUGGGUCAGAGGCUUCCGAGGAGGAGCUGGAAGGGACCUUGAGAGCGUUGUGACGCUAUCACGCGGUCAUGAUGUCACUGGGGUGGAGCACUUGGAACGCUGAGACAAGAAGAUUGCCCUGAGUUCAAGGACAGUCUGGGCUACAGAGGAAGCUACAAGAGGCUCUAAGCAGCCAGCAUUUCCACUAUUGGAGGAUGGGUAUAGUGGAGAGAUACCUGAGCCCUGCUCCAGUCUUCCUUCCACAUCCCAAGUGUGCGCUCCCUCAUCCAUCUUAUGCAUCUUCCCCUACAACUGGGAAUUGUAGGGACCGAACCAGGCAGUGAACAAAAAAGCUCCGCCUUCUGAAGUUUACAUACAAGAGCCUCUCGGUUGCAGCAGUGUUUUGGCUGAUGUUCUGAAUUCAGAGUGUUCCUUUCAACUCAGCAGCGAAAGCUCUGAC